UUGAUAUCAACCCAAUUAAUUUACCAGGUCUACCACGUGUUCUAAAUUGGUUAGACAUUAUACCCAUUUGAAUUGCCUUCACUCCUGAGUCUCUGAGUGUCAGGUUCAAGCUGCUGACCGACGAGGUUCCUUAUGCUUGCGAACCAGUUAGAUUCUAUACACAUAUGAAUCUUCCCCAUAUUCGAAUAUCUGAAUGUCAGACUCAAGCUGAUGAUAUAUGAGGUAUGGUCCUCGCUGUAUCAAUCAAGUCCCAUUGAAAUAUUGAAACGUUGUUCAUACAUCUUUGAAUGACCUUUUAUGUGCUGACAAUAUGUUCUGA